rnacentral:rRNA from 1 species
GCGUAGCUCACGCUGCCAAUCUGGAGGCCGACUCUCUUGCGUGUCUCCCGAAUUGUGGUCUAGGAAGGCGCCAUCGGCCGCGCGCGUCGCCGAAAUCCCUUGGAAGAGGGUAUCGGAGAAGGUGAGAAUCCUGUGCCGUGGCGCGUCGCGGCCUCACGAUGCGUCCUUGUCGAGUCGGGUUGCUUGGGAUUGCAGCUUGAAGUGGGUGGUAAAUUCCAUCUAAAGCUAAAUAGUGGCGAGAGACCGAUAGCGAACAAGUACCGUGAGGGAAAGAUGCAAAGAACUUUGAAAAGAGAGUCAAAGAGUGCUUGAAAUUGGCAGGAGGAAACCCGGUUGCGCCCGGCGUCGGCGCGUCGACUCAGCCGUGUGCGUGCUUGUCCUGUGCGGACCGCAAGGCCGCUUUGGGUUGGUUUGUGUGCGGUGCACUUCGACGCGCCGGGUCAGCUUUCGCUGCGCGUUGCGAGAGAUGCCGUUGGGUGAGGCCUUGGCGAUCCCAUUCGGAGCGUCGCGAGUGCGGCGUGUUUGAGCUGACGGAACGGGCGCCACCGACCCGUCUAGAACACGGACCAAGGAGUCUGACACGUGUGCGAGUACCCGGGUGUGGAAUGCCCGCGUGCGGAAUGAAAGUGAAGGGCAUGCCCUGCCAACCGACCUUGAGCUGCUGCGAAGGGUUUGAGUGGAGCACGUGUGUCGGGACCCGAAAGAUGGUGAACUAUGCCUGAGGAGGGUGAAGCCAGAGGAAACUCUGGUGGAGGCUCGUAGCGAUACUGACGUGCAAAUCGUUCGUCGAACUUGGGUAUAGGGGCGAAAGACUAAUCGAACCAUCUAGUAGCUGGUUCCCUCCGAAGUUUCCCUCAGGAUAGCUUGAGCGCACACAGUACGGUUUUGUCAGGUAAAGCGAAUGAUUAGAGGCCUUGGGGCUGAAACAGCCUUAACCUAUUCUCAAACUUUAAAUGGGCAAGAGGCGCGGGAUGCUUGAUUGAUCCCGCGCGGCGAA